UACAGAGGGGGCAAGCGUUGUUCGGAAUUACUGGGCGUAAAGGGCGCGUAGGCGGCCUGUUAAGUCGAACGUGAAAUCCCCGGGCUCAACCCGGGAACUGCGUCCGAUACUGGCAGGCUUGAAUCCGGGAGAGGAUAGCGGAAUUCCCAGUGUAGAGGUGAAAUUCGUAGAUAUUGGGAAGAACACCGGUGGCGAAGGCGGCUAUCUGGACCGACAUUGACGCUGAGGCGCGAAAGCGUGGGGAGCAAACAGG
rnacentral:rRNA from 1 species